AGGCCUAUACAUUUCAAAUUCUUUCAACCAGUAGUCACCAUCCUGGACUUCAGAAUUUGCAGAUAUGUUGACAACAAUGCCCGUCCAUGGCCAAGCAAACUUGUCUUCUUGAUCAGGAGAGGUAACAGGGGGUGGUGGGGUAGGUCGAGUCAGAGUCUCAUCUGCCAGAUGAGCCAAAUCAACUUCCACGUACUUUGCCAAGGCAAGAUGGUUAGCUUUCUGCUUGCCACUUCUAUUGGCAGAACCCCUGCCCACCCCGGAUGCAUGCUGAAGCAAUUCUUUGAAUUUAUAUCCUUGUUUCUUCUUCCCAGCACAGAAAGGGCAUCUCAAUGUCCCGUUAACUUGCACUUUGUAAUGCUGAGAUCUCAGCAGCUCAUAUGGUUUGUCCACAUGAUCAACAAUCUCCGAUUCACUGAUGUCUGACUCUUCGUCAGAUCCAGAAGAAUGACUCAUUCUUAAACUGUUUUACCUCCGAAAAUCACUACCCUGAAUUUGUUAAAUAAGGAAAUGCAAAAUGUCAGGCGGCAACAAACAAAAUGGCAACCCAUAGUUAAUAACAAGAAUGCAAGUCCAGGCUUCCGGAGAAGUAGAACAACAUGAACUAAUUAGCCAACACAGAUCAUUCUUCAACAUUCACGAUUUAACACAAGAGAACAAGAAACCCAAGCCUUCCCCGAAAACCCUAAGCGGCCAACACUGAACCCUUAACUUCUACUGGCAUGCAUUGUUAUGGAAAUCAACACCGUUAGGCGUUUGCUCAUUUAUAGUCAGUACCCAACCUGUCACCACACAGUCACAAUUUCGCCUCUGCGAGACCGCAACGCAAGUCACACGAGAGAGAUUACCUGAGCGAGUGAAAGAAGAGUGAACCUGCAGCAGCCUUUCCUUCUACGCAGAGCGAACACUGCGGUGGUGGACUGGUUGGGAACUUGAUAAUUUUGACGGUCUGCAGAAAGGCAGAGAAAUAGUCAGCUGCCGGUGGGGUUCACCUGAGUCAUUUUUGUUUUUAAUUAUUAUGAGUCAGAUUCUUUCUUUCUUUCAAUCUCUGAUGAUUUGACAACUGUCCCCUGAGACCAUUCAUUUUGUCAAAUCCAAUUACUAGAGCCUAGCAUUAAAUGAUGUUAAUUUCUUUUUGGUUUAGCUUGUGACUCAAAUUCAGUUAUAGGAACGUUCUUCAUAUGGAUUGUUCUAUUGGCACCAUAGCCGGACUGCUUGAAUGCAUAGUAUAAUGUCAAAUUUCUGGAAUUUUUCUCUUCACUCACAACUACGUGAGUGUACGUAAAAACAAUACAGCUAAGAAUCAAUACACUAACUGAGGGGUUGAUUUUGAAUAUGUGCAAACUAUCGAUCUUUACCCUAUUUUUUGUCAACUCUGGCUAUCAAGUUCAGUACUUUGUGAUCUCAGCAUACUUUUGAACCAAUUUACAGAAGCUUUUGGUAUCCUUGUGAGGUUAUGACUGUAGUCAACAUAGUAUAGCCCGAACCGGACUGUGUACCCCGAGUUCCAUUCCCAGUUGUCUAGCAAUGACCAUAUGAAAUACCCUCCUACAUUGCACCCGUCUUCCCUGCAUCAUCAUAUGAUCAAACAGAGUUAGGAGUCUUUAUAUUUUGGAUACCACACCACAUGUUUGAUAAAAUGCCUUCCUGUUAUUACCUUAUGGAUGCAGACAGGUUUGAGAGAUAAUCUCUGUGGUACUCUAUCCUUUUCUCAUCCUGCAAUGCCUUUUCUCUUGAUAUGAAUGGGCUAUUGGGAUCAUCCAUUCCUGAAGAAGAAUUAUUAUGCAACUGAGGAAUCUCAAGAAAAGUUUGCAACUUUAGUACUGUCAUCAGAUUAGUAAGAGCUUACUCACCAUUCUCUGUUAUGAUCACAAGUGGGUUUCCAUACUUAUCUUUUACAUAAUUCAUCAACUUCCGGAUACCCCAAGGGACAAUCCUUAGCCAACUGGAUGCUGCCUGGAAAAGAUGAGCAACAGUUAGUGACUGCUUUGAAUCACUGAUGUAUGCAACAGGGUAAGUUGUCCAGUAGGGCUUACUUUUUCUCCAAUAGCAAUUCCAUUCCUGUAAGCUACAAUCAGAAUAGUCACAGGAUGUUAUUUUCCUACUGGGGAAUGAACAAAUGGACUGUGUUUCUCAGACUUUGGCAUACUUACAGGAAGUAAUGAAGGCAGAAUCAGUGGAAGCGUCUUGCAGUAUCAGCUUCUGAAACCUAGUUCUGUCGUUCCGAACAUAAGAUGUUGUGUAAUGGUUGAGGCCAACAAAGUCCACUGACCCCGUAAUUAGCUUUGCCAUCUCUGAAGAGAUCUCAGGUAGUCGUUCACCAGCAAGCUUUCUCAUUGAAAGUGGGUAUCGGCCAACGAAAAUUGGAUCAAGAAACCUGCAAUUCGCAUUCAAUUUUAAGUUAACAGAAUUGGUACAUCAUGAUUUAAGACUCUGCUAAUCAGUUACAUUGUCACAGGGAAAGAAGUGAAUGCAACCAUCCAAGUGUGAAGUCCAUUGCUCUAUUUGCAGCAUCUUUGUCCUCAUCAGCAUCAGAUUUUGGUUCGAACCAUUUGGCAUCUAAUACUAUCCCAAUGCGACCUCCUUGUUUCCCCUAGAAAUUGAAUGAAAUUGAAAUCUAUCACUCUUUUCAAUCCGAUAUGGUCGAUAAGGAUCUAUGAGAUAGGACGCUAGAGGAAUACCUUGAAAUGUGACUGGUAGCUGUGAUAAGCAGCUGCAUGUGACAAGAGGAUGUGGUGAGCUACUAUAUAUGGUUCAGCCGACGAAUUUCCUUCCUUGCAGAAUAGAUGACCAAUAAUGGAGCAUCUCCCAGGGGCUUGAAUGCCAAAAUCAUAGCUCUGGAUGGCAAAGUUGUGAGGUUCAUUGAAGGUAAUCCAGUUUUUCACUCUAUCUCCAAAUGCCUUGAAGCAGGUGUUAGCAUAAUGCUCAAAGUCCUCUCUGCAAAGCACUUCUUAUUGUUAUAAGUCUUUGGUAAAACAAACUUACUGAAUAGUCUUCUGCAUCAACUUUAUGCAAAUUAUCAAAUUAUGCUAGAAAUGCCUACUUACAUAAUUUUCUUGUCCAACCAGCCUCCAUACUUGUCCUGAAGCAUCUGCGGAAGAUCCCAGUGAUAUAAAGUCACAUAAGGCUUGAUUCCUGAUUCAGAUAGGGUUAACUCAGUUUUUUUUUUCAGUUAUAUCAAAGCAAAACUUCUAAAAGACAUCUCAGAGGUAUCAUAAAGAACCAACCUUUUUCUAGUAACCCAUCAAUGAGUUUGUUGUAAUAUGUUAUGCCUUCUGGGUUUAGAUUCCCUGUUCCAUCUGUUGCAAUAAAUUUUCAAAAGCAAUCAGCUAUAGAUAGAAGAACAUUGCUAAGAAACAGAAUUGAUUUUUACUUUCCAUAACUUACUUGGAAAGAUUCUUGUCCACGAGAUGGAGAAUCUGUAGGCAUCCAUUCCCAAAUCUUUCAUCAACCCUAUAUCAUCCUGCACAAAUAUGUAAUUUCACAGCUUGUCAAUAUUAUCUUCACCUGAUUGGCCAUUAGUUGAAGUAACCAGGUCAGACAAGGAAUAAAAACUGAUAAAAUUCUAUCUGCAUUUCCUUUGUUUUUUUCAUUCGUGAUUUUUUUGCUUGUAGGACGGUGACAGUGACACAUCAUCAGCAUUAUCACUAGCUGUCGUUAUAAUAUUUGAUAUGUGGGACAUGUGGUCUUCUUCUCUUAGUUUAAGAUUCUUAUCCAUCUCAAAAUUCUUGUUUUCUUUGUCCCUGCUCUUUUCUUUUGGCCGGUGCCUCUUUCAUUUCUGUGGAAAGAGUAGUCUUGAAUGAACUAGCUGAUACACGUUAAGACUUUCCCAAAUUUAAUUAUACAUUGGUUUCUUGGACAAUCCCAGAAAUAGUUGUCAACUUUGUUUCUUUACGAAGAUACUCUCCUAUUGUCCCCUCCGAAUCGUAGUCAUCACGACGUGCACACCAGCCAUAUAUAUUCGAGCCAAGAUCUUGUUCACGUGCCUUCCAAUCCUUUUUACCAUGACGCUUACCUUCAAAGGAUUUCUCAAAAUCGGUUGCUUUGGUGAAACCAUUCCAGUCACUGUCAAAUUGCACAAUGGCCUGACCGGUAUGGUUCUUUUCAUCCCACAACACAUGCACUUUUGCAGGCCUAUACAUUUCAAAUUCUUUCAACCAGUAGUCACCAUCCUGGACUUCAGAAUUUGCAGAUAUGUUGACAACAAUGCCCGUCCAUGGCCAUGCAAACUUGUCUUCUUGAUCAGGAGAGGUAACAGGGGGUGGUGGGAUAGGUCGAGUCAGAGUCUCAUCUGCCAGAUGAGCCAAAUCAACUUCCACGUACUUUGCCAAGGCAAGAUGGUUAGCUUUCUGCUUGCCACUUCUAUUGGCAGAACCCCUGCCCACCCCGGAUGCAUGCUGAAGCAAUUCUUUGAAUUUAUAU
rnacentral:lncRNA from 1 species